rnacentral:rRNA from 1 species
GUAACGGCGAGUGAAGCGGCAAAAGCUCAAAUUUGAAAUCUGGCGCCUUCGGUGUCCGAGUUGUAAUUUGAAGAAGGUAACUUUGGAGUUGGCUCUUGUCUAUGUUCCUUGGAACAGGACGUCACAGAGGGUGAGAAUCCCGUGCGAUGAGAUGCCCAAUUCUAUGUAAAGUGCUUUCGAAGAGUCGAGUUGUUUGGGAAUGCAGCUCUAAGUGGGUGGUAAAUUCCAUCUAAAGCUAAAUAUUGGCGAGAGACCGAUAGCGAACAAGUACAGUGAUGGAAAGAUGAAAAGAACUUUGAAAAGAGAGUGAAAAAGUACGUGAAAUUGUUGAAAGGGAAGGGCUUGAGAUCAGACUUGGUAUUUUGCGUUCCUUUCCUUUUUGGUUGGGUUCCUCGCAGCUUACUGGGCCAGCAUCGGUUUGGAUGGUAGGAUAAUGACAUUGGAAUGUAUCUCUACUUCGGUGGAGUGUUAUAGCCCUUGUUGAUACUGCCUGUCUAGACCGAGGACUGCGUCUUUGACUAGGAUGCUGGCAUAAUGAUCUUAAGCCACCCGUCUUGAAACACGGACCAAGGAGUCUAACGUCUAUGCGAGUGUUUGGGUGUAAAACCCGUACGCGUAAUGAAAGUGAACGUAGGUGAGAGCUCUUAAGAGUGCAUCAUCGACCGAUCCUGAUGUCUUCGGAUGGAUUUGAGUAAGAGCAUAGCUGUUGGGACCCGAAAGAUGGUGAACUAUGCCUGAAUAGGGUGAAGCCAGAGGAAACUCUGGUGGAGGCUCGUAGCGGUUCUGACGUGCAAAUCGAUCGUCGAAUUUGGGU